rnacentral:rRNA from 1 species
CGGCUAAAUUCAUGGCAACACCCAGGGAAAUACGUAAGGUGCAAGCGUUUAUCGGAAUUACUGGGCGUAAAGCGUGCGCAGGCGGUUUUGUAAGACAGGCGUGAAAUCCCCGGGCUCAACCUGGGAAUUGCGCUUGUGACUGCAAGGCUGGAGUGCGGCAAAGGGGAAUGGAAUUCCCCGUGUAGCAAUGAAAUGCGUAGAUAUGCGGAGGAACACCGAUGGCGAAGGCAAUCCCCUGGGCCUGCACUGACGCUCAUGCACGAAAGCGUGGGGAGCAAACAGGAUUAGAUACCCUGGUAGUCCACGCCCUAAACGAUGUCAACUGGUUGUUGGGUCUCUUCUGACUCAGUAACGAAGCUAACGCGUGAAGUUGACCGCCUGGGGAGUACGGCCGCAAGGUUGAAACUCAAGGAAAUUGACGGGAACUGCAAAGG